rnacentral:lncRNA from 1 species
GGUGGAGUUCGUCUUCCAGUUUCAUAAAUUUUUCUAUCAACCGACGAACUUUCCUUUGGAGGUCUCGUAUCAUCGACUUCAUGGGAAUACCCUCCGGGAGGGGAAGAGCUUCGACAGGACACUGUCGUUGGAAGAUAAGAGCGCCAUGACUCAAAUCAAUGCAAGAAGAUAAGAAGAAGGAAAAGAAUACGAAAAGGGGGGGGGACCCUCCGUAAAGAUGAGUCCAGCUUCAUUGAUCAAAUAAGUUUUAAGUACAAGAGAACAAAAGAAAUAUAUAUAUAUAUCACCACAA